UACGGGGGGAGCAAGCGUUGUUCGGAUUUAUUGGGCGUAAAGGGCGCGUAGGCGGCUCGGCACGUCCGUUGUGAAAUCGCCCGGCUCAACUGGGCGGGGUCGGCGGAUACGGCCGAGCUGGAGCAAGCUAGGGGGUAAUGGAAUUCCCGGUGUAGUGGUGGAAUGCGUAGAUAUCAGGAGGAACACCUGCGGUGUAGACGGCUUACUGGACCAUAACUGACGCUGAGGCACGAAAGCGUGGGUAGCAAACAGG
rnacentral:rRNA from 1 species